rnacentral:rRNA from 1 species
UACGGAGGGUGCAAGCGUUAUCCGGAUUAUUGGGUUUAAAGGGUCCGUAGGCGGAUCUGUAAGUCAGUGGUGAAAUCUCACAGCUUAACUGAUCGAAACUGCCAUUGAUACUGCAGGUCUUGAGUAAAGUAGAAGUGGCUGGAAUAAGUAGUGUAGCGGUGAAAUGCAUAGAUAUUACUUAGAACACCAAUUGCGAAGGCAGGUCACUAUGUUUAACUGACGCUGAUGGACGAAAGCGUGGGGAGCGAACAGG